CAGGCCGGUCGGAUGAUCGCGGCCUGGCGCAGCCAGGUCGAGGAAAGUCCGCACUCCAAAGAGCAGGAUGCCGGGUAACACCCGGGGCGGAGCAAUCUGCCAGAUCGGGCCACAGAAACAGACUGCCUCUCUCCGGAGAGGUAAUGGUGAAAAGGUGGUGUAAGAGACCACCGGCGCUGGUAGCAAUACCACGGCCAGGCAACCCUCAUCUGGAGCAAGGCCAAGCAGGAACAAAGCUGCGCUUAACCGCACAGCGGGAGGCUGCUCGCUUCCCUUGAGUUCCGGGUAGGCUGCUUGAGCAAGCCGGCAACGGUUUGCCUAGAGAGAUGAUCAUCGCGCCUUUUGGCGUACAGAAUGCGGCUUACAGACUGGCCUGAGGA
rnacentral:RNase_P_RNA from 1 species